rnacentral:sRNA from 1 species
GAAAGUGAAGCUGCGCUGGUUCUACUGCCCUUUCACUUUGAUUAAGCAGGCCCGUAGUUAAAAUGGGUUUUUGGGCCUUCAGUGCCUAAAGAUGAUGCCACACAAUUCUCUUGCUUCUUUUGACUGGAGACUCGUGAGCGAGAGACUACAGAAUUGAGUAGCUUCUCUCUCUACUCGUCUUUUAUCCCUAGCGACUUAAGGAUCUGGUUAGAGUGGCCCGAAUGCAUUCUUCCAGGGAAGAAGAGAAUUUAUCCAAAGAUUAAAACUUGAAGCAACCCUUAAUGUGCAUGAUGGUUGUGUUAAUACAAUCUGUUGGAAUGACACUGGAGAAUAUAUUUUAUCUGGCUCAGAUGACACCAAAUUAGUAAUUAGUAAUCCUUACAGCAGAAAGGUUUUGACAACAAUUCGUUCAGGGCACCGAGCAAACAUAUUUAGUGCAAAGUUCUUACCUUGCACAAAUGAUAAACAGAUUGUAUCCUGCUCUGGAGAUGGAGUAAUAUUUUAUACCAACGUUGAGCAAGAUGCAGAAACCAACAGACAAUGCCAAUUUACGUGCCAUUAUGGAACUACUUAUGAGAUUAUGACUGUACCCAAUGACCCUUACACUUUUCUCUCUUGUGGUGAAGAUGGAACUGUUAGGUGGUUUGAUACACGCAUCAAAACUAGCUGCACAAAAGAAGAUUGUAAAGAUGAUAUUUUAAUUAACUGUCGACGUGCUGCCACGUCUGUUGCUAUUUGCCCACCAAUACCGUAUUACCUUGCUGUUGGUUGUUCUGACAGCUCAGUACGAAUAUAUGAUCGGCGAAUGCUGGGCACAAGAGCUACAG